rnacentral:rRNA from 1 species
AUUGAACGCUGGCGGCAGGCCUAACACAUGCAAGUCGAGCGCGAGGCGGACUGGUGAGUAAUGUAUGGAAAAGUGCCUGAUGGAGGGAGAUGACUACUGAACAGGGUAGCUACUACCGCAUACCAUGAGAUGUGCCGAGAUGGGCUUAGCUAGUAGGGGGGGUAAUGGCUCAUCUAGGCGACGAUCCCUAGCGGGUCUGAGAGGAUGACCAGCCACACUGGAACUGAGACACGGUCCAGACUCCUACGGGAGGCAGCAGUGGGGAAUAUUGCACAAUGGGCGCAAGCCUGAUGCAGCCAUGCCGCGUGUGUGAAGAAGGCCUUCGGGUUGUAAAGCACUUUCAGCGAGGAGGCGUUACUCGCAGAAGAAGCACCGGCUAACUCCGUGCCAGCAGCCGCGGUAAUUC